rnacentral:rRNA from 1 species
GAUGAACGCUAGCUACAGGCUUAACACAUGCAAGUCGCGGGGCAGCAUGGGGGUUGCUUGCAAUCCCCGAUGGCGACCGGCGCACGGGUGAGUAACGCGUAUCCAACCUGCCCCUCACCACGGGAUAACCCGGCGAAAGUCGGACUAAUACCGUAUGUUGUCCAUUGACGGCAUCCGAUUUGGACGAAAGGCUUGGCGGUGAGGGAUGGGGAUGCGUCCGAUUAGCCAGACGGCGGGGUAACGGCCCACCGUGGCUACGAUCGGUAGGGGUUCUGAGAGGAAGGUCCCCCACACUGGAACUGAGACACGGUCCAGACUCCUACGGGAGGCAGCAGUGAGGAAUAUUGGUCAAUGGGCGUAAGCCUGAACCAGCCAAGUAGCGUGCAGGAUGACGGCCCUAUGGGUUGUAAACUGCUUUUAUGCGGGGAUAAAGUGGCCCACGUGUGGGCUUUUGCAGGUACCGCAUGAAUAAGGACCGGCUAAUUCCGUG